AUUCUAGAAUUUUCUGACUAUCCGGAACUAAGGUUCAAGCUACCGAUGGAGCGACUUCCCCACAGCAGCCCUGCUGCCUUCCUGUCAGUGCUGUCUUGCCGAGUGAGACCAGGCUGAGGAAGGUCACAGACAGCUGAAUCUGGACCAGCGACACUUCCCAGGCUCCUCCUGCUGGGCCCAGGCCCCGACUACCCUGCCCUCUCUCACCACUUCCGCCAUGCUGCAGAGCCACCACAAGCUAAACUGCCAGCUGUGGGCGUCCUCAAGGAAAGCAACGGUACAUAGAAGUACUUCCAACUUAGAGGGCAGAAUUUCUGCACCCUCAGAAGAAACUUCCUAGAAAACAAUACGCCUUUUAUCUUCAAGAACACAGCAAAAAUCACAUCGAAGAAUUUGCAGAACUCAAAUCCGGGAAAAUCCUGUUGGAGGAAGUGUCAGAAAAAGAAACAGGGACAACCUUGAGGUCCAAGCCGUCCCUUAGAACAGACUAGUUACAGUCCAGCGCCUUCAAGGAUGCUCUGAGCCUGCUUCCACCUGCACACCCAGACAUUUCUCCCUUGCUCCCUCGGAACAGAACCACCUCAGCAGCCACGGGGGACAAUGGGAAAGGAUAGGGCAGAGGCCCAGCUGGGCCAAGACUGGUGCCAUGCUCACCAUGACAUGACCUUCACGUGUGUCCGUCUCAGGGCUGCAGUGCUGCAACCCACAGCCAAGUAUCUGGAUGCCCCCUCCUGCCCAGGGAUGCACACACAGGGAACCCUGUCCGUCACACAGAAACACAGAUGCCCGGCAGGUUCCGUAUUGCCAGCACCCUUGGUCCUUUCCCUGACAGGCUUCAAGUGAGGAGAACAAAGAAUGAGAAAGGAGCACCUGCCUCCCAGGCUCACUUGUCUCCUCAAAAGGCCUUUCUUUCCCCAGUUUGACCUUUACAAAACUACACAUUUCUACAGAC